rnacentral:rRNA from 1 species
UCCAAUAGCGUAUAUUAAAGUUGUUGCAGUUAAAAAGCUCGUAGUUGAAUUUCGGGGUCAGUAGGUCGGUCGUGCCACUGGUAUGAACUGGUUUCACUGAUUCCUCCCUCUUGUAGAACCGUGAUGCCAUUAAUUUGGUGUUGCGGGGAAACAGGACUGUUACUUUGAAAAAAUUAGAGUGUNUAAAGCAAGCUAACGCUUGAAUACCUUAGCAUGGAAUAAUGAAAUACGACGUCUGUACUUAUCUUCUGUUGGUUUCUAGGAUGGACGUAAUGAUUAAUAGGGAUAGUNGGGGGCAUUAACUAUUACCAUUGUCNCUAGGUGANACUCUUGGCAUCUUUUGUAGACUANCUACUGCNAACCCCCUUNGCCNACGGACUGUUUU